rnacentral:misc_RNA from 1 species
GAUGAAGAACGUAGCGAAAUGCGAUACGUAAUGUGAAUUGCAGAAUUCAGUGAAUCAUCGAAUCUUUGAACGCACAUAGCGCCCCUUGGUAUUCCAUGGGGCAUGCCUGUUCGAGCGUCAUUUGUACCUUCAAGCUUUGCUUGGUGUUGGGUGUUUGUCUCGCCUUUGCGUGUAGACUCGCCUUAAAAUAAUUGGCAGCCGGCGUAUUGAUUUCGGAGCGCAGUACAUCUCGCGCUUUGCACUCAUAACGACAGCGUCCAAAAGUACAUUUUACACUCUUGACCUCGGAUCAGGUAGGGAUACCCGCUGAACUUAAGCAUAUCAAUAAGCGGAGGA